CUACGGGUCGCACCAGUGGGGAAUAUUGGACAAUGGGGGAAACCCUGAUCCAGCAAUGCCGCGUGUGUGAAGAAGGCCUGCGGGUUGUAAAGCACUUUCGGUUGGGAGGACUGCUUCUAGCACUAAUAUUGUUGGAAGUUGACGUUACCUUCAGAAGAAGCACCGGCUAACUCCGUGCCAGCAGCCGCGGUAAUACGGAGGGUGCAAGCGUUAAUCGGAAUUACUGGGCGUAAAGCGCGCGUAGGCGGCUAGAUCAGUCGGGUGUGAAAGCCCCGGGCUUAACCUGGGAACUGCAUCCGAUACUGGCUAGCUUGAGUACAGGAGAGGAAAGUGGAAUUCCACAUGUAGCGGUGAAAUGCGUAGAUAUGUGGAGGAACACCAAUGGCGAAGGCAGCUCUCUGGCCUGAUACUGACGCUGAGGUGCGAAAGCGCGGGGAGCAAACAGGAUUAGAUACCCUAGUAGUC
rnacentral:rRNA from 1 species